UAGGGAAUCUUCGGCAAUGGGGGCAACCCUGACCGAGCAACGCCGCGUGAGUGAAGAAGGUUUUCGGUUCGUAAAGCUCUGUCGUAAGAGAAGAACGUGUGUGAGAGUGGAAAGUUCACACAGUGACGGUAACUUACCAGAAAGGGACGGCUAACUACGUGCCAGCAGCCGCGGUAAUACGUAGGUCCCGAGCGUUGUCCGGACGUAUUGGGCGUCAAGCGAGCGCAGGCGGUUUAAUAAGUCUGAAGUUAAAGGCAGUGGCUUAACCGUUGUUCGCUUUGAAAACUGUUAAGCUUCAGUGCAGUAGGUGAGAGUGGACUUCCAUGUGUAGCGGUGAAAUGCGUAGAUAUAUGGAGGAACUCCGGUGGCGAAAGCGGCUCUCUGGUCUGUAACUGACGCUGAGGCUCGAAAGCGUAGGGAGCAAACAGG
rnacentral:rRNA from 1 species